UGAGUAACGCGUAUGCGACCUGCCCGUUGCAGGGGGAUAAUCGGGAGAAAUCCCGUCUAAUACCGCGUAAUGCCGCGGGGCUGCAUGGCCCUGCGGCCAAAGGGAGCGAUUCCGGCAACGGAUGGGCAUGCGUGACAUUAGCUAGUUGGCGGGGCAACGGCCCACCAAGGCGACGAUGUCUAGGGGUUCUGAGAGGAAGGUCCCCCACACUGGUACUGAGACACGGACCAGACUCCUACGGGAGGCAGCAG
rnacentral:rRNA from 1 species